UUAGAAUAAUUUAAUUAAUAAGUCGAAACAAUUCAUUUUUUACUGAGAACACAUUCACGUUGAAGUACUAAAAAUCAGUUUGGAAAUACAAAAGUAGGUUAUUCGCGCUACGCUAGUAUUUUAGUUAAGUAGGUUCAUAGUAGCUCAAUCUCGCUCCUGUCUCAUAAUCGAAGCGAGAGAGAGAGAGCAAAGUCAAAGCUAUUUAUUUCAAAUAGACCAGGAAGGCACUUUUGAACGUCAAAGCAAAUAUAAUAAGAUUAAUAACGUCUGUCUGUCGGUCAGUCCUCUAGUUGCUCUAUUUGCUCGUUCCAAAGUGUAGAUUUCUAUGGAGAAGAACGAGCAAGAAACUCCAUAGGUUACUCUUUUUCAAUCAGAUUCACAAUACAAUUCUUGGUUACAUUGUUUCGAGUAGUAGUCGUAAAAAGUACUGUAUGUGUUAUUCUAGACCAUAUUUCUACCCCUGUUACAAAUUUCAUACCGAUCCCUUCAGCCGUUUUGACGUGAUUGAGUAACAAAUAUACACACAAACUCACUCACAAACUUUCGCAUUUACAAAUAUAUAAUAAGAUUAGAAAUUAACGGCUGAAAUGAUAUUUGUAACUUAACUAAAAAUCACGGUUUACUCACGUAUAUUAAUGGAGAAAAGCUCUACUAGUUUCGAGUCACAGAGGGACUCUUCAUCAAUGCUAGAAGUGAGUAAACCAUGAUUUUUUAGUUAAUUUACGCCCAAAUACUGAAAUGCUACUCAAUUUUAAGUUGUACUUAAAUAUCGUUCUAUCUCUGUCAUUUUAUAAAGAAUUGAUAGGGACAGAACUACAUUUGAGAGCGUCUUAAAAUUGAGUAGCGUUUGAGUAUUCGGACAUUAGUAUGUCUCACGAUAGUUAUUAUAGAAAUUCAUAACUGAUUUUCAUCCAAAAAUAUCUAUUUUUGACAGAAACUAAAUAACUAAUGUCAGAAAUAUAUAAUGCUAGCUAAUUUCGCGCGGUUUCACCCGCUCUGCUCGGCUUCUAUUGGUCAUAGCGUGAUGUUUUAUAGCCUAUAGCCUACCUCGAUAAAUGCAUUAUCCAAAACAAAAAGAAUUAUUCAAUUCAGACCAGUAGUUCCUGAGAUUAGCGCGUUCAAUCAAACAAACUCUUCAGCUUUAUAAUAUUAGUAUAGAUUUUUUUUUUAAACGUUGCCCCACUUUAGUAUUUACUCCUGUGUCGUGGAUGCGUUUACAAACAUACAAGUUCACAUACACAUGACACCCAGACCCGAAACAACAAUUUGUGGAUCACACAAAGAGUUGCUCCGUGCGGGAAUCGAACCCGAAAUUUUCUUAUCUAUCUACAUACCCUUAGUAUGAGUUUGUUUUAUGUUUAAAGUAGGUAAGCGAAACGAGAGCGCGUUCGGCGAUCUGAUUGGCCGGCUUAAAUAAACCAUCCAAUCAACACUGAACGCGCUCUCGUUUCAAUCUCGUUAAACAUAAAGCAAACUCAUACUAAGGGUACUACAUACUAAAUACUGGUUGGUUUAAUGUGUGUACUCACCCUUACUCCCUCAUAUAAAGUAAAUUAGUAUAGUGUGUACGUGUCUUAAUGUGUUUGUAUGGAUUGUAUGAAACUGUUUAGUUAUUUUUUGAUGAAUAAUUAUAUCGUUAUUGUGAUUUU